rnacentral:rRNA from 1 species
AGAGAUUGAACUGAAGAGUUUGAUCCUGGCUCAGAUUGAACGCUGGCGGGAUGCUUUACACAUGCAAGUCGGACGGCAGCACGGGCUUCGGCCUGGUGGCGAGUGGCGAACGGGUGAGUAAUGUAUCGGAACGUGCCCAGUAGCGGGGGAUAACUACGCGAAAGCGUGGCUAAUACCGCAUACGCCCUACGGGGGAAAGCGGGGGACCUUCGGGCCUCGCACUAUUGGAGCGGCCGAUAUCGGAUUAGCUAGUUGGUGGGGUAACGGCCUACCAAGGCGACGAUCCGUAGCUGGUUUGAGAGGACGACCAGCCACACUGGGACUGAGACACGGCCCAGACUCCUACGGGAGGCAGCAGUGGGGAAUUUUGGACAAUGGGGGCAACCCUGAUCCAGCCAUCCCGCGUGUGCGAUGAAGGCCUUCGGGUUGUAAAGCACUUUUGGCAGGAAAGAAACGGCACGGGCUAAUAUCCUGUGCAACUGACGGUACCUGCAGAAUAAGCACCGGCUAACUACGUGCCAGCAGCCGCGGUAAUACGUAGGGUGCAAGCGUUAAUCGGAAUUACUGGGCGUAAAGCGUGCGCAGGCGGUUCGGAAAGAAAGAUGUGAAAUCCCAGGGCUUAACCUUGGAACUGCAUUUUUAACUACCGGGCUAGAGUGUGUCAGAGGGAGGUGGAAUUCCGCGUGUAGCAGUGAAAUGCGUAGAUAUGCGGAGGAACACCGAUGGCGAAGGCAGCCUCCUGGGAUAACACUGACGCUCAUGCACGAAAGUGUGGGGAGCAAACAGGAUUAGAUACCCUGGUAGUCCACGCCCUAAACGAUGUCAACUAGCUGUUGGGCCUUCGGGCCUUGGUAGCGCAGCUAACGCGUGAAGUUGACCGCCUGGGGAGUACGGUCGCAAGAUUAAAACUCAAAGGAAUUGACGGGACCCGCACAAGCGGUGGAUGAUGUGGAUUAAUUCGAUGCAACGCGAAAAACCUUACCUACCCUUGACAUGUCUGGAAUCCCGAAGAGAUUUGGGAGUGCUCGCAAGAGAACCGGAACACAGGUGCUGCAUGGCUGUCGUCAGCUCGUGUCGUGAGAUGUUGGGUUAAGUCCCGCAACGAGCGCAACCCUUGUCAUUAGUUGCUACGAAAGGGCACUCUAAUGAGACUGCCGGUGACAAACCGGAGGAAGGUGGGGAUGACGUCAAGUCCUCAUGGCCCUUAUGGGUAGGGCUUCACACGUCAUACAAUGGUCGGGACAGAGGGUUGCCAACCCGCGAGGGGAGCCAAUCCCAGAAACCCGGUCGUAGUCCGGAUCGCAGUCUGCAACUCGACUGCGUGAAGUCGGAAUCGCUAGUAAUCGCGGAUCAGCAUGUCGCGGUGAAUACGUUCCCGGGUCUUGUACACACGCCCGUCACACCAUGGGAGUGGGUUUUACCAGAAGUAGUUAGCCUAACCGCAAGGGGGCGAUUACCACGGUAGGAUUCAUGACUGGGGUGAAGUCGUAACAAGGUAGCCGUAUCGGAAGGUGCGGCUGGAUCACCUCCUUUAAGA